CUUUCGAAUCGCUUUCCCAAUCACUUGAACUGGAUUAUCAGAACAUUAAAAAUUUAAUUAAAUUUCCCUAUCAGCACGUGUAAUUAAGGCAACUUCAGUUGGCAAAGUUACGGAGCUAAGCCGCAAAACUGUUUUCCAACGGGCAUAAACGUAAUAGUAACUACGUUAAUCCGACAGCUGAAAAUCCCUGGAAAUACAUUUAACUCUUGCCUUGCGCUAAGUACAAUGUAAACCGUUUGCCACAUUCCAAACACACAGGAAAACCCAGAGACAAAACAGCAACUUUGGGGUGAAAAGGGAGCAGGCAACGAAUUCCGAAGGACCAAACGGGAAAAAUGCGAAUAUUUUUGAAGCAUAAUAAAUGGAGCUCGGCGUGGGAAAGCGUCGUCUGAGGGGAAAAACUGAGCCCGGGAAAUCCCCAUCCACACGUGCUUAAAGCUCAGACUCACACACACUCACACACUCGCACAAUGCCGGCCAUUAAACACGCAUUCUUUGGCCAUAGAAAUUUAUAGACCAGAAAGGAAAGGCGACGGAGAAAGUGUGAGAGCGAGUGAAGUAGGGAAAGUUGGGACGGGAAAUGUGGGUAGUGCGAAAUGUGUCGCGCAGCGAGUCGCGCGUUUUACUUUCACUCUCGCCGGAACUUUCAUCCAAGGACAUGGAGCAGACAGGACCUCGCAAACCACUAAUGGCGGGACCCAAAAACAAAAGGAUACAUGCAUUUUAUACCCUCACAGCGGGUAUUGUGGAUAUUUUAGAUCAGUAAGCUAUAAAUAUCUGAAUAGUGUUAUUUUGAACUAUUAGCGGUACAGAAUUUUGGGGAUAACUUUUC
ensembl:ncRNA lncRNA:CR43263 long non-coding RNA:CR43263